rnacentral:rRNA from 1 species
UACGUAGGGGGCAAGCGUUGUCCGGAAUCAUUGGGCGUAAAGAGCGUGUAGGCGGUCCGUUAAGUCGGCUGUGAAAGUCCAGGGCUCAACCCUGGGAUGCCGGCCGAUACUGGCGGACUAGAGUCCGGAAGAGGUGAGUGGAAUUCCUGGUGUAGCGGUGAAAUGCGCAGAUAUCAGGAGGAACACCGGUGGCGAAGGCGGGUCUCUGGGCCGAUAUUGACGCUGAGGAGCGAAAGCGUGGGGAGCGAACAGG